GCCUAAAGCGUCCGUAGCCGGCUUUGUAAGUUUUCGGUUAAAUCCAUAUGCUCAACAUAUGGGCUGCCGGGAAUACUGCACAGCUAGGGAGUGGGAGAGGUAGACGGUACUCCAUAGGAAGGGGUAAAAUCCUUUGAUCUAUGGAAGACCACCAGUGGCGAAGGCGGUCUACCAGAACACGUUCGACGGUGAGGGAUGAAAGCUGGGGGAGCAAACCGGAUUAGAUACCCGGGUAGUCCCAGCUGUAAACUAUGCAAACUCGGUGAUGCAUUGGCUUGUGGCCAAUGCAGUGCCGCAGGGAAGCCGUUAAGUUUGCCGCCUGGGAAGUACGUACGCAAGUAUGAAACUUAAAGGAAUUGGCGGGGGAGCACCACAAGGGGUGAAGCCUGCGGUUCAAUUGGAGUCAACGCCAGAAAUCUUACCUGGGGAGACAGCAGAAUGAAGGUCAAACUGAAGACUUUACCAGACAAGCUGAGAGGUGGUGCAUGGCCGUCGUCAGCUCGUGCCGUGAGAUGUCCUGUUAAGUCAGGUAACGAGCGAGAUCCCUGCUGCUAGUUGCUACCAUUACUCUCCGGAGUAGUGGGGCGAAUUAGCGGGACCGCCGCAGUUAAUGUGGAGGAAGGAGGGGGCCACGGCAGGUCAGUAUGCCCCGAA
rnacentral:rRNA from 1 species